UAUAGCUCAGUCAAUCCUAGUGCAUUCAUGGAUAGGUUCUUAACUAAUUAUUUUAUCAAAAUAAAUUUUAAUAAUUAUAUUUUGCCUCAGGCAUCUCUUUAGUAGAUGUGUAGCACCUUCACUGAAAAUCUUUGUUAAGUUUGAUCAUUAACAUGACAACACCAAGUGCAUCCAACAAAUAAAUAUCCAGAUCUGAGUGUGGCUCAGCUAAUCUGACCA
rnacentral:lncRNA from 1 species